UACGGGGGGAGCAAGCGUUGUUCGGAUUUACUGGGCGUAAAGGGCGCGUAGGCGGCGCAACAAGUCACUUGUGAAAUCUCCGGGCUUAACUCGGAACGGUCAAGUGAUACUGUCGGACUAGAGUACAGAAGGGGCAACUGGAAUUCUCGGUGUAGCGGUGAAAUGCGUAGAUAUCGGGAGGAACACCAGUGGCGAAGGCGACUACCUGGCCUGUUCUUGACGCUGAGGCGCGAAAGCUAGGGGAGCAAACGGGG
rnacentral:rRNA from 1 species